UACAGAGGGUGCGAGCGUUAAUCGGAAUUACUGGGCGUAAAGCGUGCGCAGGCGGUUUUGUAAGUCUGUCGUGAAAUCCCCGGCUCAACCUGGGAAUUGCGAUGGAGACUGCAAGGCUAGAAUCUGGCAGAGGGGGUAGAAUUCCACGUGUAGCAGUGAAAUGCGUAGAGAUGUGGAGGAACACCGAUGGCGAAGGCAGCCCCCUGGGUCAAGAUUGACGCUCAUGAC
rnacentral:rRNA from 1 species